GACCGGUGCGCACGCGCCACACACCGCUCGAAAAUUUAAAGGGACAAUACCUUAUACAAAGGAACAGAAACCGCUCGGAAAAAUCAGCAGAUUUGGCAGCAUCUGUGUGGAGACAAAUAGAGACUCUUUUUCAGAACGAACAACGCGUCUAUUGUAAUCUUCGCCUUAAAGGGACCCUGGCACUUGCCCAAAUGGAGACAGCAGGAACCAACAGGCAGUUUCCUGCAAGGGAAGAGCAGGAUGUUCACCAUCUCAGUGAAAGGCCCUCCAGCACUUCUCAAGGGGAGAAUUCAGAGGUCUCUCAGAUAAGAAGUUACUAGCUUAGAGACAGCUGUACCAUCCUUACAAGAUCCAACAUAUGACAUACUUUAUUUGUGAUGAGGAGUGACUUUGAAUACA